rnacentral:rRNA from 1 species
UACGUAGGGACCGAGCGUUGCCCGGAAUCAUUGGGCGUAAAGAGCGUGUAGGCGGCCACUUAAGUCCUGCGUGAAAUCUUGCGGCUCAACCGCAAGCGGUCGUGGGAAACUGGGUGGCUAGAGUGCGGGAGAGGAGAGUGGAAUUCCUGGUGUAGCGGUGAAAUGCGCAGAUAUCAGGAGGAACACCGGUGGCGAAGGCGGGUCUCUGGGCCGAUACUGACGCUGAGGAGCGAAAGCGUGGGGAGCGAACAGG